rnacentral:tRNA from 1 species
UGGUGUGGCUCAAUUGGUAGAGCAACUGACUUGUAAUCAGUAGGUUGGGGGUUCAAGUCCCUCCACCAG